UACGUAGGUGGCAAGCGUUGUCCGGAAUUACUGGGCGUAAAGGGCGUGUAGGCGGUCUUUUAAGUCAGACGUGAAAUCCCCAGGCUUAACCUGGGAACUGCGUUUGAAACUGGAAGACUUGAGGACCGGAGAGGGUAGUGGAAUUCCCAGUGUAGCGGUGAAAUGCGUAGAUAUUGGGAGGAACACCAGUGGCGAAGGCGACUACCUGGACGGCACCUGACGCUGAGGCGCGAAAGCGUGGGGAGCAAACAGG
rnacentral:rRNA from 1 species